ensembl:misc_RNA Metazoa_SRP Metazoan signal recognition particle RNA
GCCAGGUAUGGUGGUGCAUGCCUGUAAUCCCAGCUACUCGGGAGGCUGAGACUGGGGAAUUGCUUGAACCCAGGAAGUGAAUGUUGCAGUGAGCGGAGAUCAUACCACUGCACUCCAGCCUGGGUGACAGAGUGAGACUCUGUCUCAA